CCUACGGGAGGCAGCAGUGAGGAAUAUUGGUCAAUGGACGAGAGUCUGAACCAGCCAAGUAGCGUGAAGGAUGACUGCCCUAUGGGUUGUAAACUUCUUUUAUAUGGGAAUAAAAUGUUCCACGUGUGGGAUUUUGUAUGUACCAUAUGAAUAAGGAUCGGCUAACUCCGUACCAGCAGCCGCGGUAAUACGGAGGAUCCGAGCGUUAUCCGGAUUUAUUGGGUUUAAAGGGAGCGUAGGUGGAUUGUUAAGUCAGUUGUGAAAGUUUGCGGCUCAACCGUAAAAUUGCAGUUGAAACUGGCAGUCUUGAGUACAGUAGAGGUGGGCGGAAUGCGUGGUGUAGCGGUGAAAUGCUUAGAUAUCACGAAGAACUCCGAUUGCGAAGGCAGUUCACUGGACUGCAACUGACACUGAGGCUCGAAAGUGUGGGUAUCAAACAGGAUUAGAUACCCGGGUAGUC
rnacentral:rRNA from 1 species